AGGGUGCCUAUUAGCAAACUGAUCUGGAAGAUCAAAUAUGAAAUCAAACCAUCUAACAAAUGGAAAUUUCUAUGGAUGCCGGUUCCUGAACCAGAAUAUGAGUCGGGCUCUGUGUUAAACUGCAGUUCCGCAGCUUAUUUUCAGAUUCCACAUACUUCACUUCAAAGAUCUCAUUCAAUUCUCAGUGGAUAAAGGUUAGAUCAAGAAACAAAAAUAGGAAAAAAAAACCUUCGGCAAAUCUAAAAGUCAAUUAAAAUUCUAACUCUGGCUUUUAAACUGUUAUGGAGGAGAGAGGAGAGCCAGGCCGAUUGGAUUCAGAGAACAAUUCCUCACUGACUUUGAAAGGGUGUUUUAGGAUUUUUGUUUGGGGUGAGGUGUUGCCAUGACUAGUCUGAAGAACAAUACCUGGAGAAGAUGAGCUGUUGUAGGAGACAAAAAAGGAAAGGAUUUGUGAUGGUGCUGCAGGAAAUAGGAAGACAUCUUGUCUAAAGGAGUCCUUCCAGCACAGGAACACAUCCGAAGAAGAAGGGGGAUUCUCUACGACAUGCAUCUUUCCAGGAUCUUUUCUUCUCCUCCUCUUUCAUCCUCCAGUUAAAGAGCCAGUCUGUAAGCUCCUGCAGGAGAGGGUUUAUAUCUGCCAAUUCUAAUGAAUUCUUACAAGUACUUAGUGCAAGUGCUCCGUACAUAUCAGAUGCUCAAUAAAGGCCAAUGAUGUAUUGUUUGAGCUGUAA